rnacentral:rRNA from 1 species
UACGUAGGGGGCAAGCGUUGUCCGGAUUUAUUGGGCGUAAAGAGCGUGUAGGCGGCCAGACAGGUCCGUUGUGAAAACUGGAGGCUUAACCUCCAGACGUCGAUGGAAACCGUCUGGCUAGAGUCCGGAAGAGGAGAGUGGAAUUCCUGGUGUAGCGGUGAAAUGCGCAGAUAUCAGGAAGAACACCCGUGGCGAAGGCGGCUCUCUGGGACGGUACUGACGCUGAGACGCGAAAGCGUGGGGAGCGAACAGG